GACGAACGCUGGCGGCGUGCCUAAUACAUGCAAGUCGAACGCAGUGGGGACGGUUGAGUAACACGUGGGUAACCUCCCAUCAGAGGGGAUAACACUUGGCAACAGGUGCUAAACCGAUAUUGGUGGAUGGACCCGCGGUGCAUUAGCUAGUUCGUGGGGUAAAGGCCCACCAAGGCCACGAUGCAUAGCCGACCUGAGAGGGUGAUCGGCCACACUGGGACUGAGACACGGCCCAGACUCCUACGGUAGGCAGCAGUGGGGAAUCUUGGACAAUGGACGAAAGUCUGACCCAGCAAUGCCGCGUGAAUGAAGAAGGUUUUCGGGUCGUAAAACACUGUUGUUAGAGAAGCGGUAUCUAACGAGAAAGCAACGGCUAACUACGUGCCAGCAGCCGCGGUAAUUC
rnacentral:rRNA from 1 species